rnacentral:rRNA from 1 species
AUUGAACGCUGGCGGCAUGCUUUACACAUGCAAGUCGAACGGCAGCGCGGGCUUCGGCCUGGCGGCGAGUGGCGAACGGGUGAGUAAUACAUCGGAACGUGCCCAGUAGUGGGGGAUAGCUCGGCGAAAGCCGGGUUAAUACCGCAUACGACCUGCGGGUGAAAGCGGGGGGUCUUCGGACCUCGCGCGCUUGGGGCGGCCGAUGGCGGAUUAGCGAGUUGGUGGGGUAAAGGCCUACCAAGGCGACGAUGUGUAGCUGGUCUGAGAGGAAGACCAGCCACACUGGGACUGAGCCACGGCCCAGACUCCUACGGGAGGCAGCAGUGGGGAAUUUUGGACAAUGGGCGAAAGCCUGACCCAGCAAUGCCGCGUGUGUGAUGAAGGCCUUCGGGUUGUAAAGAACUUUUGGCGGGAACGAAAAGGACUGUGCCAAUACCACGGUUCGAUGACGGUACCCGCAGAAUAAGCACCGGCUAACUACGUG